CAGAGUUGACAAACUCCCAACCCAUGUGAACAGUACCUGAACUGUUGCUUCGGCGGGAUGCCCGGCCUCGUUGCCCGGAGCAGGCGCCCGCCGGAGGAAUCUUAAACUCUUGUUUUAUUUGGAAUCUUCUGAGUAGUUUAUAAAUAAGUA
rnacentral:misc_RNA from 1 species